AGCGAACGCUGGCGGCAGGCCUAACACAUGCAAGUCGAACGAAGCCUUCGGACUUAGUGGCGGACGGGUGAGUAACACGUGGGAACGUGCCUUUAGGUUCGGAAUAACUCAGGGAAACUUGUGCUAAUACCGAAUGUGCCCUUCGGGGGAAAGAUUUAUCGCCUUUAGAGCGGCCCGCGUCUGAUUAGCUAGUUGGUGAGGUAAAGGCUCACCAAGGCUACGAUCAGUAGCUGGUCUGAGAGGAUGACCAGCCACAUUGGGACUGAGACACGGCCCAAACUCCUACGGGAGGCAGCAGUGGGGAAUCUUGUGCAAUGGGCGAAAGCCUGACGGAGCCAUGCCGGUUGGAUGAUGAAGGUCUUAGGAUUGUAAAAUCCUUUCACCGGUGAAGAUAAUGACUGUAGCCGGAGAAGAAGCCCCGGCUAACUUCGUGCCAGCAGCCGCGGUAAAAC
rnacentral:rRNA from 1 species